AUAAGAAGGACAUGGCUCUGUUGGACUGAGUCCAGAGGAGGGCCAUGAAGAUGAUCAGAGGGCUGGGGAAACUCUCCUACGAAGACAGGCUGAGAGAGUUGGGGUUGUUCAGC